rnacentral:rRNA from 1 species
AUUGAACGCUGGCGGCAUGCUUUACACAUGCAAGUCGAACGGCAGCACGGGGGCAACCCUGGUGGCGAGUGGCGAACGGGUGAGUAACACAUCGGAACGUGUCCAGUUGUGGGGGAUAACCCAUCGAAAGGUGGGCUAAUACCGCAUGAGCCGGCAACAGGAAAGCGGGGGACCCGCAAGGGCCUUGUGCGAUUGGAGCGGCCGAUGUCCGAUUAGCUAGUUGGUGGGGUAAAGGCCACCAAGGCUUCGAUCGGUAGCUGGUCUGAGAGGAUGAUCAGCCACACUGGGACUGAGACACGGCCCAGACUCCUACGGGAGGCAGCAGUGGGGAAUUUUGGACAAUGGGGGCAACCCUGAUCCAGCCAUGCCGCGUGAGUGAAGAAGGCCU